UAAACAACUGGUGAGAAUGUGUCAUGAACAAAAGGUUACAAAUAAUCCAAUUCUGUAUCACAUAUAAUU
rnacentral:snoRNA from 1 species